UUCUCCUUUUCAUACACUUUUUCCUAUACUCUUAGAGUGCCUUCAUUUAUCUUCCCCAUGUAUUGCCUAUGGUUGUUGUUGAUCUUAAUAUAAUUUGUAUAAAAAUACUUAUACCAUGGCAAUGAACAAAGAGAACAUCCUAGGCCCCAGAAAUUCAAGGAUGAGAGCUCAAGAAAUAAAUCCUUCUAGUUAUCAUAUCUGAUCUGCUCUUACAAAAAAGCUAGGGUGACACAACACUUGGGAACUCUUUGGCCUAUAAAUACAUACAGGUUUAUAAAGAGAAUACGCAAUGCUAAAACUUCCACCUAGGCAGCAAAUAUUGAAGAGAUGUACAAAAUGAACCUGAGCCCAGAGUUAAAAUCCGUUCAUUUUGUUUGUGUAAAAACUUGGACUAUAAGAGCCUAUGGUUCCAUACAGCCUUUAGCUAAAAAGAAUUCGGAUUUAAACUUGAUGGCCUGGGAGGGUGACACAAAAACAUCUUUAAACACUCUGAGUGUGCGUAAAUCCCUGACACAGGAAAGACUAUGUUUCUUUCUAUCCUUUAUUAUAUUUUCUGAUUGCUCUUCUAAUAAUUUGUGUGAUAUUUCCCAGUUGUGAAAUGUCUCUGAUUGCCAGUGAUUAAGAUUAAAUGAGAAGAUUGCGCUCCUCCCCCAGGUGGUUGUUAGGAAACAUCUGAAUCAUAGUGAUUUGUUGGAUGAACUAAGAGAGUGCCUCUCCCUAGCCAUCUCGGGUUUACAUAAAUAAAUAUUCAAUAUAUGCCACACCAAUACAUUUAUUUGCACUGCAGGCUUCUGAUCUGCAGUAUCCAGUUUCUUUAUGGCUUAGCAAAUCAUAAGCAUGUUUGGAAAUACAACCGCCUGGAUGUCAAGACUCAUGGUUUUACACAUAUUAAAUACACCAGGUCUGAGUUUCAAAAGAAUGAGGGCAUUUGAGCUUCAUAAAUGUAAAGGCAAUAUAAUUCUCAAUUGAUGAUGACAUCAUCCACAGUUCUGUUAUACCCAGGGAAACAUUCAGACUUGUCUUAUUUUUUGGUCCUAUGAAAACACUGAAACAAAAACACUGAAAUAAAACAAAAAUGAUGUUCCAAGAAAUGAUAAAGAUGUGGCCACCAGGAGGAAAAAUGUACAGGCCACAGUGAAAGGCUGUGUCUGUGGUGCAGCUGACACGGAGGUGCGGUGCCAUCCAAUGGUCUCCUUACGUUGGGUAAUAGCGUGGACAUCAAACUCCAGUUUAAGGAGGUCUGCAUCUCACUGGGGUUGGAUUGCCUUAGUACUUCUGUUAUGUGCAGCCCCUGGCUGGGAGCAGCCAUGGGAAGCGUGACCUCCGUACAAACAUGAUGGUGGU
rnacentral:lncRNA from 10 species